GUGACAGGUGAGGCCCUGCUAGUGCCAAGUGGCGGAGAGAGGCUCUACCUAUGAUUUGGGCUGAGGGAAUUUUGUGGCCACUUGAACGUGGUGGCAGGGUGUCGGCCUCUCGGUGACCGUAAGAGAUUUAAAACGUGCGGCCGUGACUUGGGAAGCCCUAACUGUAGCCCUAAAGAAGGGCGAGCGAGGUAGCUAACUAUGAUUUGGUCGUGGGGCUGAACCUUCGUGUAUGAGGUGGG